UAGGGAAUUUUCGGCAAUGGGCGAAAGCCUGACCGAGCAAUGCCGCGUGAGUGAUGAAGGCCUUCGGGUUGUAAAGCUCUGUUAUAGGGGAAGAAAAAGUAGUGAAUGCUACAUAUUGACGGUACCCUAUUAGAAAGCCAUGGCUAACUACGUGCCAGCAGCCGCGGUAAUACGUAGAUGGCAAGCGUUAUCCGGAAUUAUUGGGCGUAAAGAGUGAGUAGGCGGUUAAGCAAGUUCUUAGUUAAAACUUGUGGCUCAACCAUAAGUUGCAUAGAAAACUGUUUAACUAGAGUCAAAGAGAGGCCAGUAGAACUCCUAAUGUAGCGGUGGAAUGCGUAGAUAUUAGGAAGAAUACCAGUGGCGAAGGCGGCUGGCUAGCUUUGAACUGACGCUGAGUCACGAAAGCGUGGGGAGCAAAUAGG
rnacentral:rRNA from 2 species